GACGAACGCUGGCGGCGUGCUUAACACAUGCAAGUCGAACGGUGAUGCUCCAGCUUGCUGGAGUGGAUCAGUGGCGAACGGGUGAGUAACACGUGAGCAACCUGCCCCAGACUCUGGAAUAAGCGCUGGAAACGGCGUCUAAUACUGGAUACGAAACUGGCCCGCAUGGGCAUGGUUUGGAAAGUUUUUCGGUUUGGGAUGGGCUCGCGGCCUAUCAGCUUGUUGGUGAGGUAAUGGCUCACCAAGGCGACGACGGGUAGCCGGCCUGAGAGGGCGACCGGCCACACUGGGACUGAGACACGGCCCAGACUCCUACGGGAGGCAGCAGUGGGGAAUAUUGCACAAUGGACGAAAGCCUGAUGCAGCGACGCCGCGUGAGGGAUGACGGCCUUCGGGUUGUAAACCUCUUUCAGCAGGGAAGAAGCGAAAGUGACGGUACCUGCAGAAGAAGCACCGGCUAACUACGUG
rnacentral:rRNA from 1 species